rnacentral:rRNA from 1 species
UACGGGGGGGGCAAGCGUUGUUCGGAAUUACUGGGCGUAAAGGGCACGUAGGCGGCCUAUUAAGUCGGACGUGAAAUCCCUCGGCUCAACCGGGGAACUGCGUCCGAUACUGGCAGGCUUGAAUCCGGGAGAGGGAUGUGGAAUUCCAGGUGUAGCGGUGAAAUGCGUAGAUAUCUGGAGGAACACCGGUGGCGAAGGCGGCAUCCUGGACCGAUAUUGACGCUGAUGCGCGAAAGCCAGGGGAGCAAACGGG